rnacentral:tRNA from 1 species
GCUGUGGUUGUUCAGUGGUAGAAUUCUCACCUUCCGUGUGAGACCUGGGUUUGAUUCCCAGCCAGUGCA